CCAGCCUUGUUUGAACAUGGUGGCUAUUCACCAACAAUCCAGAAUAUACUAUUUAGUGUAUUAUGGCAUGUCGAUGAAUAAAACUGUUUAAAAACUUCAUGAAGGUCACAGUAAAUGUAGUAUUUUUGGAUGCUUUAGUUUGGGGGUGGGGUUGAAAUCCACUUUUAUACACUGAAGGGUCCCAUGAUGAGGGCUUCUUGGUAUUACAGAGAAACCAGCAUGUUUGCUUCUUAGCAGUGGCAUUUUUAUUGUUGCCUUUUCCUAAUAUUUUCCUUAAAAAAUUCUUCAUAUGGUCAAAUUCUGUACAUAAAUCUUAUAAUAAUUCAAUGAUUUUGGUUUAGUGCCACCAAAUAUAAAUCGUUAUAGGAAAUAAAUAGCUUCUUUAAGAUAAUGCACACUUUUUUGCAUCAAAUACUGUAGAUACACAUAUUAGUAGUUAAGUGUUUGCAGUUUCAUGAUGAAUUUUUAUGAGUUUUAUCCAUUUUUGCAUCAGUGCUUCUGUGAUCGAUCCUGUGGUCUGUUUAAGAAUUCCGUGAACGUGCACUUAUCCUAACUAGCUACACCUGGCUUGACAUAGCUGCCCGUUCUCAUCCUGACUUAGCCAUCGUGCAACAGACUUAGCCAGGAUGGGCUGAUUAAACUAGGUCAAGCUGGGCCUUUUCUGUUAUCCUGGCUUUCUUAAUUCUACUUUUGUGCAAUACCCCCCUGAAUUUGUUUUACAUGUUUUAAUAAAGUGGCUGCACUGAUUCUCGCCUCGCUUGAUGAAGCACCACGUGCAUCUCAGGUAAGGCUAAGUGAAUCAGCAUGUGAAUAAUCGUUAGCUAUAUUACAUUAACGUUAUACAUAUGUAUGUAAUUAUCUUUUAAAUAACAGUGUGUUGUGAAUGCAUUAGCACUUCAUUCGUUGCUAGCAUUUAGGGAAAACCAUUCAUUCAUUCAUUUUAUUUUUUUGACAGGGACAAUGCAAACAUACAUAGUGUCAAAGCAAGCUUAUCACUAAAGUGCUGCAUAAAAAGUUUAUAGCAAAUGCUAAUUUUCAACUCCUGUCCCUGGUUGGGCUCUAAAAACAAUACAAUUGAAUUUACAUAUACUAUACUACUUCAAUUUAAAACAAAUAAACAUGAUAUUGACAAUUCAUGUCUCUAAUCAUACACAAUAAAAUUUACCCAUAAAAUUUACCCGUAAGGUUUAAAUACACACAUAUACUAUAUACAACUCAUACUUACUAGUUAAAAAUGAGUGCACCUUUGAUUUGUUUUUAACCAGUUUUUUAGCCUGGAAGUAAACACAUUAAAAUCCAGUACAUUCUUAAUGUCAGAUGGUAAUGAGUUCCAGAGUUUGGAGCUCUUCACAGAGAAGGUCGUCUGACCAAAACUGGUCCUACAAAAUGGGAUUUUACAGUCAUGAUUUGAAAAACCCCUAGUGACUCGAGUGCUGCUCUGUCUCUCAAUAAAUGAACUUAGUGGCACAGGUACUAAAUGAAUGCACUUGUAAAUUAGUUUAAGAAAGCAAAAGUUGCUAAAGCUCUCAAAAUUCAUUAAAUUAUAUAUUUUUUAAAUGGUACAGUGAUGAUGUCGUAUUGGUUUUUUGUCCAUUAUUUUUAUUGCUCUAUUGUAUACAGAACGUAUACAUUUGGCAGGCCCGGUACUAGCCUUGCUGGACUGGGGGGGCAGUCAGGAUUUUUGGGUGGGCAGCCAUUUCUCGACUAAAACGAUUCAUACACUAAAAUUAUGGAUGUUUCAAUAUGUCUUAUGAUAAAAGGCCAUUUAUAUGUCAUUUUGCACGUUCAACUUUAUUUCCACUUCUCAAACAUUUUCUUCAUUUAAAAUAAUGUAUUUUCAAUGUGAUAUAUGUGAUAAGCUGUGUUAAUUAAUUCCUGACCCUAUCAUACAUGGUGCUGCAGCAACCUCAAAUAUCACAACAAAGCACAACGCUUUAUUAAUCUAUUUUGAAACAUCAUGUAAGCAAUUUGACAUGCAUGACAAAUUCGUCAAAGGUUAUCCUGUUUGCCUAUAACAGCACCAGACAAAAGCACAAGCCCUAAAAUACUGUAAGUGUGAUUUGCGACGAGACCAAAGAUAACACAGCAAAUCAGAUAUUUAAGCAAUAUCGCUCGAGUAGGAGUGUGAAAUAGCUCUAUAUCAUCACGGCUGUGAUUAGGCCGUAGGCCGAGUGCCGGAGACAAUCACAGCCGUGAUGAUAUAGAGCUAUAUCACACGACUCCGAGAGCGAUAUUGCUUUUAUACAACAGUUCGACGGCACACGUUUGAAAAACGAAAACUAGAAAACAACAACGGAGUUAUUUUAAAAGCCUCUUUGUUUGAGAACUACUUCUUCCGCCACGGAUUUGAGGGCGGCCAGAAUGACAGGUAAAACUUUCGGCUGCUUUGAAGCUCAUAACAACUCAAUGGACGGAAAAGCCGUUACUUUAUAUUACCGUUUCUUGGUCACAAAGUGUAGUUUUAAGAUUAGUUCAGUCGAGAAUGUAUAUGUAUUAUAUUUAAAUCUGCAGUCGAUUAGUAAAGAUAGCGCCUGUUUGAACGUUUGCUUAGUGAGAUUCGGUACGAAUGAGAACCAAAGCAUGAGCGGACGUCAGUGUUCACUCGCCCCUGCUGACCACCGCCCUCUCUGGGCUACAUCUCUGACAGAGAUACCCUGGCUCUCAUGUUGGCCUUGUUUGUUUAUGAUCGUCAAAAUGAGAUCAAAUCAGCAGUAUUUGGUGUCAUGAUCAAACUAUUACUUGUUUUUUAAUUCAUAUUUAGUGUCUUUUGUGUUGUUAUUGUUUUGGCGUGAGGUAAAAGUUAAUAAAACUACUUGUAUAACGUUACUAUUGCUUUCUCAUUUAUUCUUAACGUGAUACGAGCACUCGAUUAUUAUUAUUAAACUUUGUUCUUGUCAGUACUAUAUAAAACGAUUUUUAUAAGUGUCAGAGAGAUGUUUUUGCAUGCUGCUUAUAAAUAACGUUAUACCAGUGGCGAUCUCUCAUAACAUGUUUUAAUAGUCACGUCACGAUAAAGUAAAUGAUCAAUGUCCACAUUUAAAAGCUGCGGUGCUUACCUGCAGUUCCACGUUGUUUUCGCUUUCUGAUAAGAAAUAUAGCUCCAGAAAAAAACGAGUGUUUAUAUUCCUCUUUCCAAGUGUUAAUCGUCCACACGAUGUGACAAGACAUUUCUCCCAUUAACUUUAACGUAACAUCCAAGAGCGCUGAUCUUUGACGGAAUAACUUCCGAUUGGGGAUUCACAGACUGAUUUAUGAGCUAGUGAAAUAAUGAGACACACGGAGAGUGAUUCACACAGCGCGUCUGUGUUUUCCCAUUCAGAGAUGAGCCUGCUUAGGACCUCCAUUCACUAGGUAGCGGAAUGAUACGAAAGGUGAAGCGGUUACAGUGCCGAUAUCAGCACAAUAUCGCAUAGCUCUUAGCCAAUCAGAUUCGAGAACCAGAAAGAACUGUUGUAUAAUAUAAUACAACGCAACAUUAUAAAAUACAACGUUUUACCUUAUGAUGACCUUGCGGAGUGAAAGCUCCUCUUGAACUUAAAAGUCUGUAGAUUUUUGCGUGUAAAGUUUUUCUCAAACGCGAGCUGAAUGAGCUGACGAAUUACGAUGACAAAACCGCUAAAAUGUGAUAUUAAAACUGCACGCGAUGCUCAGCUGUUACAAUACUGUAUAUUUACUGUAUAACCAUCUUAUAUCAUUUAUAUCUACUAUAUAGUAUGCCACAACCAAACUGCAUAUUCUAAUUUUAAUAAACAGAACUACGUCUAAAACAAACACAUUAAAUGCUGCUGGAGACUUGCCAUUGGCUGUUGUAUUUGAAUGAAUAAAUAAUAAGGUUAGUCUAAGAAAGGAUAAGGGGCUAUUUUGGGCAUGUUUUACUAUAAAAAAAGUUUUAAUUUAAUAUGUGUUGGGUUAUUACGUUUAUGUAAUAAUAAAUUGCAUCGUUUCUGAUAUAUUUUAAAGAUGCGUUUUAUUUUUUAGUUACCGUCAUAGAGAACAGUAGUACUUUUCCUGUGACUUAAAUACUGCUGAAAACACCUCCAAAGCUUGAAUAAGCUAAACAGAUGAUAGUGGGCAGGAACUGUAAACGCUAGCGCUUGCCUAAAGGAGAUAUUUUUUGUUUAAAGAGACUCCGUUAUUUUAAGGUUGGCUGGACAUUUUUUGGGGGGCAGAAGCCCCCCCGUAGACCCAGCCCUGACAUUUGGUUGCAGUGGGAGUGGCUUGAGCCCAUGCUGUCAUGCAAUACGAUAUAUGAGAAAAAAAUCAUGGCAUGCAUGUACAGCAGAGCUGCCUGGUGCGGUAUAAAACUUCUAAUUAAUUUAAAACAGUUAAGAUUACUUUGGGUUGUUUUAAAAAUCUUCUUUAUUUGCUUAUCAAAUUUUCAACCCAGUAUCACGCUAAAGCGUGUAAUAGACACGCUGGUCCACUAAAGGAUGCGUGCCAAUGUCACGUUUGCCGCCUCUAGGCGUGAAAAUGACACGCAUUUAUGUAAGGAAUAAUUGACGACGGGCCAUUGAAUUAUAAGAAAAUAAUGCACACCAAGGUGGUAAUGCGGCACGACGUGAAGCGGAGUGCCGUUACACCGCAGGUGUGCAUUAUUUUCAAAUAAUUCAAAGGACCGGAGUCAAUUAUUCCGCUUAUACCACGGUUACCACAAACAUUGCUCUGGUGCCUAUUUUUAAGACAUUUGAAAAGUUAGGUGUGCGGUUUACAGAAAAAUAAUCAACACCCAUAGAACAUUUCUCAGCCAAUCAGAAUGCAGCAUUCAACAGACCCGUGGUAUAAGAGGAUGAUAACCAAGAGGGGGGCGAUAAUUUGCUCAAUGCCAACAACUUCAACAAGAGAAGCGACGCAGUGAUAUUGCGUUCUCCGGAGUUCCAUGGGUAAGGCUAACUUGGAAAUUUGGUGAUUAAUGUUACUAAAAUUGAGUAAAUCCUUUGUGUUAAGUCUUUGUUGCAACGUUAGCAAUAUAAUAUCACCGCUAAGGCAACAGACAAGUCAGUGCACGCGUUUGGUCAGAAUCCAAUUGGCUCAUAUUUAGGACAUAACGUUAAUUGUUUUUUCAGGUGCGGUCAUUUAAGAAAUCCUAAAGUUGGUGCAGCAUAACAUUUAAUUUGCGUGUGUGGACUAUGGAGUUAUCUAUAGUGGUUUUUACGUUACUAAGGUCAGAAACAUUAUUGGAUGACUGUUUGAUAAUCAGCUAAUGUAUUUAUCACAGAAAGCUGCAGUGACUGCAUUAUAUUAUGUUGCUAAACAGUUGUUCUAGCGUUUUUAAACCAGUAGUUUUAUUAAUUUCGCACGGAAUGCAGUUUGUGAAAUAAGCUCUAAAUGAAAAAAUAACCGAUUAAAGAGAAUAAUUGUGUUCAUUGUAAAUCUGCUCAUCUAAACAUACAAGGCGGAACCAAUCGAUCACAGAGAGCGAUCGCUGCUGACACCGUCAGCAGCACUCACAUUCAGAUUACAAUAAUAUUUCACAUUAUUAGUGUUUUUACUGUUUUUUAUAUCAAAUAAAUGCAGCCUUGGUGAGCAGAAUAGAUUUAUUUAAUUAUUUAAUAUUAUUUAUAUUAUAUAAUUAGGCUAGUUUGUGCAGUUACAUUUGUCAAUUGAUCGUUAGAAGGGAUUAAAAUUGAUUGUGUUAUGUUCUGUAUUGUUGUUAAUAAAUCUGUCAGAAGAAAGUGUGUAAAAGUUUGACUACAGUAACCAUAUCUAAGCUUCAAGUACCAAGAUAAUUAUUUCAUUUAUUUCUCUGAAUUCAGAUCAACUGUUCAUUUAUGCAGUUUAUGCUUUAUUUAUAGGUAGCAUAACUGUUACCUUUUUUUUUUACAGUUCUGCAUAUAUAAUAUGACAAACCAAGGAGACUUUGCUGUAAGAGAAUUAUUCCUGUUUUUGUUUUCUUUUCUCAGGUCCGGUCAGUACCCACCACCCUUCCCUGUUAACAUCACCCACAGUUUAUACUUUUUCUUAGAAAACCAACGGCUCUUUUAAGAGCCACUUCAAUAAUCAACUCACUCACUCUCCUCAAAAAUGCCAGGCCAGGGAUCAACAACUAGAAAGUGUGUGGUCUGCCAUACACAACUAAAUGUAGCUUGCAAAACCUGCAACACAUGCAAGGUAGAGCAGCCACAUAAGCUUAGGGUAAAAAAGAACUGAAGAAAUUUGAUCAGAAGUGGGAGAGCUGGGUGCACGAUGAAGAUGAAGAUAUGGAAGAUAUGCUGGCCUGGAAGAAAACCAAAUGCUUGGGGGUCUGAGGUUUUGACACCCCGUUGUCACUUGACUGAGACAUCCAUUACAUGCUUGGAAAGAUUAAAGAACCUAUUCAAGGCGGGACCUCACAAGGUGUUGCAGAACAAGUCAAUAAAACCUCAUCAGCCCGAGUUGAAUCCCCAACUGGACCACAAAUGGCCCAACCUGAUCUCCAGGUACCAGUGGCCCUGCCUCAAACCAGAGCAGCUCCAACUGGACCACCAGCAGCCCUUAUUGGACCACAAAAGUCCCCAAUUUGACAGCCAGUAUCCCUUUUAGGACCCUUAGGACACAAUGCAACCCCACUGCAGCAAUCUGGGAAAAGAAACCCAUUACCCAGAUGGACCCCCAAGAGCCUCCCCAGUUUCUCUUGGAAAAGAUGGUGUGAAAGAAGGCUUUCCAGCUCUGACUACAGUGCGGCCAGAUCAAGAGAGAUCCCCUCUUGUCAGUGAACUACGGCUCUGUGUAGUAAAUGUCGCUCCAUCUGAAAGCAGCUGAUGGCCAUUUACUACUAAACAAGGACGAGGUUUACUGAGGGGAUGCGCGUUACAAUCACAUGCGAUUAAUUGUGCAGCCCUAGUAUGUAGUGUAUUACAGCCUGUUGUGAAUUAAUUAACAGUACUUAUCUGCAGUGUGAAAACUGUUGUACAUGGUGGUUCUUGCACUCUAUGGGAAAGUACGGAUUUGAUUUGAGGAGUGUAUAUAAAAAAAAAAUUCAGACUAUUACUCCCAUUCCAUUUUCUAAAAUGUAUUAUUCAGAAAUUCUGAAUAAUACGUGUUUCUCGUUUCUCCAAGUUAAUUUGAAACAAAUAACCAAAUGUGACCCUGUCUGUAAAAACAUGGCCUAAAGUCUAAGAAUCAAAUUCUGAAUAAUGUGCAUCAUUGAUUUCACCUAUUUAUUUCACUAUGAUUUCAAUGUUUGACACGACCUUACUUAGUCAAUAUUAAGGAUAUCACAAUGUUCUUUAUGUUGGAAGAGUUUAUGUAGAAAAUAAAAUAAAAUCACAGUUAUGCAGUGAUGUACUUAUCAUAAAGUAAACAAUGUUUUUUUGAAAACCUUAUAUUUACUUUGUUUGACAGUAGAAUGCCAUCUAUCUUUAUAUAUAGGAGUAUGAAAUUAUCUCAACCACCCUACCCUGUAGUUUACUACAGUAUAAAACAAAAAAAAAACUACAGUGCGAAAACUGUGCCCCCUAGCUUAACCAAUUAUUGUAAUGCUUGUUUAGUGUAGUGUUAAGCUUUUUGAAUGUAGUAUUGUAUUCCUUUCAAAAUGCCCACACAAUGUGACAGGGAGACAGGAUUUUUACCCUGUGAAGAGGGUUGCCAAAUCCAGAGUUAUUAAGGUUAAAUGUAAUACAACUCAAACAAUACACAGGUUAUAUAAUGUUCCAGUUGAAAAGGGAUGAUAUAGUUUUUUGUUUUGUUUUGUUAUUGAUGUAAUGGUCUUAAACUUAUUGGUAAACACAGUAAAUAUUUGAAACUAAAAAAGUCCCACUGUUUUUUAGGGCCAGAAAUGGAAGCAGGUGGAGUGGGAGCCGUGCAAACUUUGAUAAAAGCAGUGGCCAUUUGAGUGGGUGGCGGAUGGGGACACUUGUUAGUGCUUCGGCAUCUUCUUGGGGACCUGAUACAAUAAGAAGCACUAUUAUUUUCUCUGUGUAACUUGUUUUUCUUUUAUGUUUUAAACAAACACUUGUUUCUUGGACCCUUUUAUUGCUCCUCCUUUCACUUGCUUUUUUGCACUUUUUUGGAUAUUAAUACUGAAUACUGCUAAUACUGUUUUGCAACCAAAUUAUUGUCAAUUUAACUGUUUUAAUCGAUGUUAUAUCCUACUGUGAUGUAAUGAUGUUAAGUACAGUGAGUCUAUUUACUUUACUUUUUUCAAUAAACAUUGAGGAAUUCAUUGGUUUCUUUAUUUUCACACACACUAUUUAUUAAAAAGUCUACUUGGUGAACAUUCAAGACAACAUAAAAUGUAUUUGCUCAGAGAAUAAAAAACAU